rnacentral:rRNA from 1 species
CUACGGGAGGCUGCAGUGGGGAAUAUUGCACAAUGGAGGAAACUCUGAUGCAGCAACGCCGCGUGGAGGAUGACACUUUUCGGAGCGUAAACUCCUUUUAUAUAGGAAGAAGAUGACGGUACUAUAUGAAUAAGCGCCGGCAACUCCGUGCCAGCAGCCGCGGUAAUACGGAGGGCGCAAGCGUUACGAGGAAUCACUGGGCGUAAAGAGCGUGUAGGCGGAUUAAAAAGUCAGAAGUGAAAUCCUAUAGCUUAACUAUAGAACUGCUUCUGAAACUCUUAAUCUAGAAUAUGGGAGAGGUAGAUGGAAUUUCUGGUGUAGGGGUAAAAUCCGUAGAGAUCAGAAGGAAUACCGAUUGCGAAGGCGAUCUACUAGAACAUUAUUGACGCUGAGACGCGAAAGCGUGGGGAGCAAACAGGAUUAGAUACCCUCGUAGUC